GGGAACGUACCCUUCGGUUCGGAAUAACUCAGGGAAACUUGAGCUAAUACCGGAUACGCCCUUUUGGGGAAAGGUUUACUGCCGAAGGAUCGGCCCGCGUCUGAUUAGCUUGUUGGUGAGGUAACGGCCUACCAAGGCGACGAUCAGUAGCUGGUCUGAGAGGAUGAUCAGCCACACUGGGACUGAGACACGGCCCAGACUCCUACGGGAGGCAGCAGUGGGGAAUAUUGGACAAUGGGCGCAAGCCUGAUCCAGCCAUGCCGCGUGAGUGAUGAAGGCCUUAGGGUUGUAAAGCUCUUUUGUCCGGGACGAUAAUGACGGUACCGGAAGAAUAAGCCCCUGCUAACUUCGUGCCAGCAGCCGCGGUAAUACGAAGGGGGCUAGCGUUGCUCGGAAUCACUGGGCGUAAAGGGCGCGUAGGCGGCCGAUUAAGUCGGGGGUGAAAGCCUGUGGCUCAACCACAGAAUUGCCUUCGAUACUGGUUGGCUUGAGACCGGAAGAGGACAGCGGAACUGCGAGU
rnacentral:rRNA from 1 species